rnacentral:rRNA from 1 species
AUUGAACGCUGGCGGCAGGCCUAACACAUGCAAGUCGAACGAGUGGCGGACGGGUGAGUAAUGUCUGGGAACCUGCCCGAUGGAGGGGGAUAACUACUGGAAACGGUAGCUAAUACCGCAUACCAUCGGAGGUGCCCAGAUGGGCUUAUCUAGUGGGUGGGGUAACGGCUGACCUAGGCGACGAGCCCUAGCUGGUCUGAGAGGAGGAGCAGCCACACUGGGACUGAGACACGGUCCAGACUCCUACGGGAGGCAGCAGUGGGGAAUAUUGGACAAUGGGCGCAAGCCUGAUGCAGCCAUGCCGCGUGUAUGAAGAAGGCCUUCGGGUUGUAAAGUACUUGCAGCGAGGAGGCGUUACUCGCAGAAGAAGCACCGGCUAACUCCGUGCCAGCAGCCGCGGUAAUAC